AUGGAAGUCGACAGAGCCCCGGCCGCUGCCGCGGGAGGAGGAUCCUCCUCUGGCGCGAUGGCGGUGGACGCGGCCGGCGGCGUGGAGAAGCCGCGGUUCGACGCGCUGAUGCCAAGCGAGAUGAGCGGCGGGAGGCCACAGUACCGCAAGGUCCAGGUGCCGCCGCACCGCUUCGCGCCGCUGAAGAAGGCGUGGCUGGAGAUCUACACCCCCGUCUACGAGCACAUGAAGGUCGACAUCCGCAUGAACCUCAAGGCAAAAAGGGUCGAGCUGAAGACGAGGCAUGAUACACCAGAUGUGAGCAACCUUCAGAAGUGCGCGGACUUCGUGCAUGCUUUUAUGCUUGGAUUUGACAUUGCCGAUGCCGUUGCCUUGCUUCGUCUUGAUGACCUGUAUGUGGACUCCUUUGAGAUCAAGGAUGUGAAGACACUCAGAGGGGAGCAUCUGUCACGUGCCAUUGGGCGCCUGUCAGGGAAAGGAGGCAAGACCAAGUAUGCCAUCGAGAACUCUACGAGGACUCGCAUAGUUAUCGCUGAUACGAAGAUCCACAUACUUGGAUCCUUUGUUAACAUCAAGGUUGCCAGGGAUUCACUCUGUAGUCUUAUCUUAGGUUCUCCUGCCGGCAAGGUCUAUUCUAAGCUUAGGGCUGUAUCUGCUAGGUUGGCAGAAAGGUAUUAG
rnacentral:rRNA from 1 species